GUAGGUGGCAAGCGUUGUCCGGAAUUAUUGGGCGUAAAGCGCGCGCAGGCGGUUCGUUUAAGUCUGAUGUGAAAGCCCACGGGCUCAACCGUGGAGGGUCAUUGGAAACUGGAGGACUUGAGUACAGAAGAGGAAAGCGGAAUUCCACGUGUAGCGGUGAAAUGCGUAGAGAUGUGGAGGAACACCAGUGGCGAAGGCGGCUUUCUGGUCUGUAACUGACGCUGAGGCGCGAAAGCGGUGGGGAGACAAACAGGAUUAGAUACCCUGUAGUCCACGCCGUAAACGAUGAGUGCUAAGUGUUAGGGGGUUUCCGCCCCCUUAGUGCUGCAGCUAACGCAUUAAGCACUCCGCCUGGGGAGUACGGCCGCAAAGGCUG
rnacentral:rRNA from 1 species